rnacentral:rRNA from 1 species
UAGUCCACGCCGUAAACGAUGGAUACUAGCUGUCCGGUGCCCUGAGCACUGGGCGGCCAAGCGAAAGUGAUAAGUAUCCCACCUGGGGAGUACGUUCGCAAGAAUGAAACUCAGAGGAAUUGACGGGGGCCCGCACAAGCGGUGGAGCAUGUGGUUUAAUUCGAUGAUACGCGAGGAACCUUACCAGGGCUUAAAUGCAUAACGACAGGUCUAGAGAUAGACUUUCCUUCGGGCGUUUUGCAAGGUGCUGCAUGGUUGUCGUCAGCUCGUGCCGUGAGGUGUCAGGUUAAGUCCUAUAACGAGCGCAACCCCUGCCGUUAGUUGCCAGCAUGUAAAGAUGGGGACUCUAACGGGGCUGCCGGUGCAAACCGCGAGGAAGGUGGGGAUGACGUCAAAUCAUCACGGGCCCUUACGUCCUGGGGCCACACACGUGCUACAAUGGCCGGGUACAGAGAGUAGCCACGUCGCAAGGGCGGAGCGAAUCUACAAAACC